UACAGAGGUCUCAAGCGUUUGUUCGGAUUCAUUGGGCGUAAAGGGUGCGUAGGUGGCGCCGUAAGUCGGGUGUGAAAUUUCGGAGCUUAACUCCGAAACUGCAUUCGAUACUGCGGUGCUUGAGGACUGGAGAGGAGACUGGAAUUCAUGGUGUAGCAGUGAAAUGCGUAGAGAUCAUGAGGAAGACCAGUGGCGAAGGCGGGUCGUCUGGACAGUUCCUGACACUGAGGCACGAAGGCCAGGGGAGCAAACGGG
rnacentral:rRNA from 1 species